rnacentral:rRNA from 1 species
AGGAGAGUUUGGUCAUGGCUCAGAGUGAACGCUGGCGGCGUGCUUAACACAUGCAAGUCGAACGAGAACGGACUAUAGCUUGCUAUAGUUGUCAGCUAAGUGGCGCACGGGUGAGUAAUAUAUAGGUAAUGUGCCCUAGAGAGGGGGAUAACAGUUGGAAACGACUGCUAACACCCCAUAUGCCCUUAAGACAUAAGUCUGCAGGGGAAAUAUUUAUAGCUCUAGGAUCGGCCUGUACGGUAUCAGCUAGUUGGUGAGGUAAUGGCUCACCAAGGCAAUGACGCCUAACUGGUUUGAGAGGAUGAUCAGUCACACUGGAACUGAGACACGGUCCAGACUCCUACGGGAGGCAGCAGUGGGGAAUAUUGCACAAUGGGGGAAACCCUGAUGCAGCAACGCCGCGUGGAGGAUGACACAUUUCGGUGCGUAAACUCCUUUUAUAUAGGAAGAUAAUGACGGUACUAUAUGAAUAAGCGCCGGCUAACUCCGUGCCAGCAGCCGCGGUAAUACGGAGGGCGCAAGCGUUACUCGGAAUCACUGGGCGUAAAGAGCGUGUAGGCGGGUUAAUAAGUUUGAAGUGAAAUCCUAUGGCUCAACCAUAGAACUGCUUUGAAAACUGUUAACCUAGAAUAU